rnacentral:sRNA from 15 species
GCGAAUACAAAUUCAGUUUCGGAAAUACGCGGUAGAUUGAUAGAAAGGCUCGCUUUGAUCUUUAAAAGGAUUAAACAUUGAGUUUUUAGGAUCCCUGUGCUACCAGUAAGUAGGCUGUUGCUGUCAGACCAUUAUAUCUUUAACAUUUGGUUAUUUAAUUGAGAUUCUAUAUUCGAAUACACCUUUUUCAAGCAUCCCUUAGAUUCGACAGCCCUUGGAUUCUGUUUCGUAUUCCGAAUACCUCGCCUUAUUGACGACUGGGCUGACAAUCGCUAACAAAUACGUUUGCAAAAUUCAGAUCGAUCCCAAUGUUAGAAUACAAUUUCAAGUCUUAAGUGAUGUGCACCAAAGUCGCCGUCCGUUGGCCAGAGUCAAAUGUUCGUACAUAAAGUGAUUUCACUUUCCCUCACUUGGAUGGAAUAGAUUUGUGUAACGAGGGGCAGAAACACCCCACGUGCCCACCCUUGGCCAUGUGUGUUUGGGUAUCUGUGUUUGUUUACAUAUAUGAAAAUGCACAAGUACAGGCACACCCAGCUAAAGAUACAUGUAUUCACACACUUGGAUAUGAAUAAGCAAUGCAGCGGAAACUAAUUCAAGUUCAAGGUGAAUAUUGUCGACGUUUGCUCAUCGCUGCCGCUGCUGCUGCCGCUGCUGAUGAUAAUGAUGAGGACGAUGAUGAUUGGGUGUCAUUCUGCAGCUGUCAAUGCUCGCUCUGUUAUUUAUUUUGCAGGUGAAACGCCUCGGCUUCCGAGGCGUAUGCGCAAUGCUGGCUCGUAGUUCUUGCAAGUAAUUCAUUUUAUAUUAUGAAGAAUAAUUGAAGGUAUAAUCUGUGGGAAAAGCGAUGCACCGAUGCUGAGUAAACACUGAGUAAUUCACAAU